rnacentral:rRNA from 1 species
GAUGAACGCUGGCGGCGUGCCUAAUACAUGCAAGUCGAGCGAACAGACCAGGAGCUUGCUCCUCUGACGUUAGCGGCGGACGGGUGAGUAACACGUGUAUCACCUACCUGUAAUACUGGUAUAACUUCGGGAAACCGGAGAUAAUACCGGAUAAUCUAUUGAACCGCAUGGUUCAAUAGAAAAAUACGGUUUUGCUGUCACUUAUAGAUGGAUCCGCGCUGCAUGAUCGAGUUGGUAAGGUAACGGCUUACCAAGGCAACGAUGCGUAGCCGACCUGAGAGCGGGAUGGGCCACCCAGGAGCUGAGACACGGUCCUGACUCCUAGGGGAGGCAGCAGCAGGGAAGCUUCCGAGCAGGGCGAAAGACUGAAGGAGCAACGCAGCGUGAGUGAUGAAGGUCUGCGGAUCGUAAAACUCUGUUAUUAGGGAAGAACAAAUGUGUAAGUAACUAUGCACGUCUUGCCGGUAUCUAAUCAGAAAGCCACGGCUAACUACUU